GACGAACCGUGCGAACGUUAUUCGGAAUCACUGGGCUUAAAGGGCGCGUAGGCGGGCCGCCGCGUCCGGGGUGAAAUCCCCCCGCUCAACGGGGGGACGGCCUCGGAUACGGGCGGCCUGGAGGCGGGUAGGGGCACGCGGAACUGUGGGUGGAGCGGUGAAAUGCGUUGAGAUCCACAGGAACUCCGGUGGCGAAGGCGGCGUGCUGGACCCGUCCUGACGCUGAGGCGCGAAAGCCAGGGGAGCGAACGGG
rnacentral:rRNA from 1 species